rnacentral:rRNA from 1 species
GACGAACGCUGGCGGCGUGCCUAAUACAUGCAAGUAGAACGCACAGUUCAUACCGUAGUUUGCUACACCAUAGACUGUAAGUUGCGAACGGGUGAGUAACGCGUAGGUAACCUGCCUGGUAGCGGGGGUUAACUAUUGGAAACGAUAGUUAAUACCGCAUAAUAUUAAUUAUUGCAUGAUAAUUAAUUGAAAGUUGCAAUUGCACCACUACUAGAUGGACCUUCGUUUUAUUAGUUAGUAGGUGAGGUAACGGCUCACCUAGGCGACGAUACAUAGCCGGCCUGAGAGGGUGGUCGGCCACACUGGGACUGAGACACGGCACAGACUCCUGCAGGAGGCAGCAGGAGGGAGUCUUCGGCAAUGGACGAAAGUCUGACCGAUCAACGCCGCGUGAGUGAAGAAGGUUUUCGGCUCGUGAAGCUCUGUUGUAGGAGAAGAACGGGUGUGAGAGUGGAAAGUUCACACUGUGACGGUAUCUUACCAGAAAGGGACGGCUAACUACGUG